rnacentral:rRNA from 1 species
GUUAAGAUGCCGUAUACCCGCGGCUAGACGGAAAGACCCCGUGAACCUUUACUACAGCUUUGCACUGAACUUUGAACCUACUUGUGUAGGAUAGCUGGGAGACAUUGAAGCGAGGACGCCAGUUCUUGUGGAGUCAACCUUGAAAUACCAGCCUGGUAUGUUUGGAGUUCUAACCUCGGUCCCUUAUCGGGACUAGGGACAGUGUAUGGUGGGUAGUUUGACUGGGGCGG